CUGCGAAAGCAUCUGCCAAGGAUGUUUUCAUUAAUCAAGAACGAAAGUUAGGGGAUCGAAGACGAUCAGAUACCGUCGUAGUCUUAACCAUAAACGAUGCCGACCAGCGAUUAGGAGACGUUGAAUACAAAACACCACCAUCGGUGCGGUCGUCCUUGGCGUCUCGGUCCUUCACGGGGCCGGGGCGCGGGGGUGGCUUAUGCCGGUGGCGCCGGUGAAUGACUCCCCUAUGAGCUAGUGAGA
rnacentral:rRNA from 1 species